UACAGAGGUCUCAAGCGUUGUUCGGAUUCAUUGGGCGUAAAGGGUGCGUAGGCGGCGGGGCAAGUCUGAUGUGAAAUCCCGGGGCUCAACCCCGGAACUGCAUUGGAUACUGCCUUGCUAGAGUACUGGAGAGGAGACUGGAAUUUACGGUGUAGCAGUGAAAUGCGUAGAUAUCGUAAGGAAGGCCAGUGGCGAAGGCGAGUUUCUGGACAGUUACUGACGCUGAGGCACGAAGGCCAGGGGAGCAAACGGG
rnacentral:rRNA from 1 species